GGUUUCACUUCUGUGUUUCUCAAACUGGGAGCUCAGGGGUUCCCAGCAUCACAGUAGCUUGUUGAGGUCGGAGAUUUCAGGGACUGCAUAUCAACCAGACCCCAAGGGUUGGGUCUUCGCAGCAUGCAUGGUGGAUUCCUCUUCCUACUGAAAAUUGAGAACCAUCCAGUUAGUAGAGGAACAGACUCCACCAAAGGACCAAAGGCAUGUCUUUUCCAACUCACUUGGUAAAAUUCUCCCAGAGGAGAAAACCAAUAUAACUCCUUUUCCUGGAAAACUGAGCAGUGUCUGUAAGGAGGUUGGCAUUCGCUGAAGUUGGUAGACCCCAAUCUGCAGUACCAUAUUCCCAGUGGGCAGGAUGGUGCCUGUGCCAGGAAGAUCACUAGGCAGUGGCUGCUUCACUGUCUCAUCAGUAACAGAGUUAGCAUCAGCCUCACCCUUUGUAUUCUGUAACUCGUGUAUGAUUUAAAAGUGUAUUGGUAUUUUACUUUUCACCACCUAGAAUCCACAUAAUUCUGUGGUUGAUCCACUGUGCUGGAAAAAAGAAAACAAAACAACUCCGAAACCUGCAUCUAGCUAUCUAUGUAAGAAAAAGUGAUUCUUAGCAGUGGAUUCUCUCAUGCCCUGACUUCAGUUGAAAUGAUUAAUAUGUAUAGCUUUGAAGAACAUUCGUGAGGAGAUUUUUUUUUUCUGGUAAUGUGGUAGAUAGGGCUUUCAUCAUUUUAGCAUACAGUUCUACUAUUCCAUGAUCCUAAGACUUGAGGUUUGUAAUUAAGAUCUUCACCUUGUAUUUAAAAUGAUUUAUGAAAAAUAUUAAUUUUUGUUUGAAGUCUUUUUUUAGACACUUUGUUUUAAUUUGAACAGUUAUCUUUGAAAAAGGGUGCAAUUCAGUGCUUCCUUUUAUAAUCUCUGGGGAGAAUUACUAAUAUUAUUUUAUAGGCGCUAACAGGAGCAAAACGUCUAGAAUUAACUGCAUGUGGAUUAAGUGUCAAGAAGCACAUUACAUGUUUCUACUACAAUUUACAAAAUGUACUAAUAUUCAGGGGCCCAAAAGAGAAAAGGCCAAGGAAAGUAGAUGAUUG
rnacentral:lncRNA from 1 species